rnacentral:rRNA from 1 species
GACGAACGCUGGCGGCGUGCCUAAUACAUGCAAGUUGAGCGAUGAAGAUUGGUGCUUGCACCAAUUUGAAGAGCAGCGAACGGGUGAGUAACGCGUGGGGAAUCUGCCUUUGAGCGGGGGACAACAUUUGGAAACGAAUGCUAAUACCGCAUAACAACUUUAAACAUAAGUUUUAAGUUUGAAAGAUGCAAUUGCAUCACUCAAAGAUGAUCCCGCGUUGUAUUAGCUAGUUGGUGAGGUAAAGGCUCAUCAAGGCGAUGAUACAUAGCCGACCUGAGAGGGUGAUCGGCCACAUUGGGACUGAGACACGGCCCAAACUCCUACGGGAGGCAGCAGUAGGGAAUCUUCGGCAAUGAACGAAAGUCUGACCGAGCAACGCCGCGUGAGUGAAGAAGGUUUUCGGAUCGUAAAACUCUGUUGGUAGAGAAGAACGUUGGUGAGAGUGGAAAGCUCAUCAAGUGACGGUAACUACCCAGAAAGGGACGGCUAACUACGUG